GUGCAAUGGCACGAUAUCGGCUCACUGCAACCUCCGCCUCCCAGGUUCAAGCAAUUCUCCUGCCUCAGCCUCCCAAGUAGCUGGAAUUACAGGCACCAGCCACCACGCCUGGCUAAUUUUUAUAUUUUUAGUAGAGAUGGGGUUUCACCACGUUGGCUAGGCUGGUCUCAAACUCCUGACCUCAGGUGAUCUGCCCGCCUCAGCCUCCCAAAGUGCUGGGAUUAUAGGUGUGAGCCACCGCACCCAGCCAUGUAAAAAUAAUUUUAAAGGCUUGAUUUUCUGGAACGUAAAGUAAGAAGAGGUAUAUUUCACAGCCUGUAUAUCAAUGUCAAAUGGAAAUGUGGAGAAUUGAAUUGGAUUGAAUUAUUUUGGGAAUUUGCACCAAACAUCCCUGUUGGUUUCUUCAAAAUGACAAAAACUGUAAGGAAAGUGAGAAAUGACAAGAGACAGGGGUCUCACUAUGUGAUGCAGGAUGAUCUCAAACUCCCUGGCCUCAAGCGAUCCUCCUGCCUUGGUCUCCUAAAGUGCUGGGAUUACAGGUCACUGUAUCUCUAUGCAUUACAGAAAAUGGCUAGUUAAAAACUUGUCAAGGCCAGUUGCAGGCAUGAUACCAGCAGUCUGGGAGGUAGAGACAAGAGGACACAUCUCUGCUGCUCCCUUCUUUCCCCAUGGUUAUGCGCCAACUUUGGUUUCACCAGGCCUACAGUGCUUCCCAGAGAUGGGGUUUUACUAUGUUGGAGAAGCUGGUCUCAAACUCCUGGGCUCAAGUCAUCCUCCCGCCUCAGCCUCCCAAAGUGCUGAGAUUACAGACGUGUGCCUGGCCUAUUUUACUCGUUUUAAUAGAUAUUUUAUUACUUACAGGUUGAGGGCUCAUGACACUCCUGGUGGCCAUAUACGCAGAGGUCAGGGAGAGAAAGGGACCUGUGGGCCAGCACCCUUAUUGGGUCCAGAGAGCUAUCCAAACAAGUUUCCAGCAGGGAAUUUAAUUGGUGGAUU
rnacentral:lncRNA from 10 species